rnacentral:rRNA from 1 species
UACGAAGGGGGCUAGCGUUGCUCGGAAUUACUGGGCGUAAAGGGCGCGUAGGCGGAUAGUUUAGUCAGAGGUGAAAGCCCAGGGCUCAACCCUGGAAUUGCCUUUGAUACUGGCUAUCUUGAGUUCGGGAGAGGUGAGUGGAACUCCGAGUGUAGAGGUGAAAUUCGUAGAUAUUCGGAAGAACACCAGUGGCGAAGGCGACUCACUGGCCCGAUAGUGACGCUGAGGCGCGAAAGCGUGGGGAGCAAACAGG